rnacentral:rRNA from 1 species
GAUGAACGCUAGCUACAGGCUUAACACAUGCAAGUCGAGGGGAAACGACAUUGAAGCUUGCUUCGAUGGUCGUCGACCGGCGCACGGGUGAGUAACGCGUAUCCAACCUGCCUCUGACCAAGGGAUAACCCGUCGAAAGUCGGCCUAAUACCUUAUGCAGUCGUCGGAAGUCAUCUGAUGACGACGAAAGAUUUCAUCGGUGAGAGAUGGGGAUGCGUCUGAUUAGCUUGUUGGCGGGGUAACGGCCCACCAAGGCAACGAUCAGUAGGGGUUCUGAGAGGAAGGUCCCCCACAUUGGAACUGAGACACGGUCCAAACUCCUACGGGAGGCAGCAGUGAGGAAUAUUGGUCAAUGGGCGAGAGCCUGAACCGGCCAAGUAGCGUGCAGGAUGACGGCCCUAUGGGUUGUAAACUGCUUUUAUGCGGGGAUAAAGUGAGGGACGUGUCCUUCAUUGCAGGUACCGCAUGAAUAAGGACCGGCUAAUUCCGUG